rnacentral:misc_RNA from 1 species
GGAAUAAAAGUCGUAACAAGGUUUCCGUAGGUGAACCUGCGGAAGGAUCAUUAUUGUAUAACCGAGGUGCGAGGGCUGUCGCUGACCCGAAAGGUCGUGCACGCCCGAGUGCCCUCACACACAACCAUCUCACCCCUAUGUGCACCACCGCGUGGGUCCCCCUUUGGCUUGUUCGGAGGGGGGCUUACGUUUUCACACAAACUUUGUAUGCAGUGUAGAAUGUAUUUUUUGUUUUUGCGAUCACGCAAUCAAUACAACUUUCAACAACGGAUCUCUUGGCUCUC